GCUGGGCAUGGUGACACAUGCCUAUAUUCCCAGCUGCUCAGGAGGCUGAGGUAGGAGGAUUGCAAGUUCAAAGCCAGCCUCAGCAACUUAGUCAGGCCCUAAGCAACUUAGCAAAACCUUGUCUCUA
rnacentral:sRNA from 1 species